UCUUUUCAGCUGCACCAUCCAAGGCACCUCAACUGGGAGCUGGAACUCCACUGAGGAGAUUGUACAUGCUAAUAAAGGUACGGAAUAGGACAUUUUGGAUGGAGAAAUCUGCUUCUUUCUUGGCUUGGAGUUGGCUGAGUUAGUCUUCAGUUUCAAGGGAAAAAACCCCAAUCCAUGGAUUUUGUGCCUUUCUAAAUCAUUUCUUUCUAUGGUGAUUUCCACUGGAGCAGACCCUCCUUCUCCAGAGGGGUGGCAGCAUAUUAUAUGGUUAAUGAUCACCUUCAGACUGGUAUCAACAGGGACUGGCACCACUGCACUGAGGAUGGAAUGGGAUGGGAUGGUUUGGGACGGGAC